AUACGUAGGGUGCAAGCGUUAAUCGGAAUUACUGGGCGUAAAGCGUGCGCAGGCGGUUUUGUAAGGCAGUGGUGAAAUCCCCGGGCUCAACCUGGGAAAUGCCUUUGUGACUGCAAGGCUGGAGGGCGGCAGAGGGGGAUGGAAUUCCGCGUGUAGCAGGGUAAUGCGUAGAUAUGCGGAGGAACACCGAUGGCGAAGGCAAUCCCCUGGGCCUGCACUGACGCUCAUGCACGAAAGCGUGGGGAGCAAACAGGAUUAGAUACCCUGGUAGUCCACGCCCUAAACGAUGUCAACUGGUUGUUGGGGAUUUAUUUUCUCAGUAACGAAGCUAACGCGUGAAGUUGACCGCCUGGGGAGUACGGCCGCAAGGUUAAAACUCAAAUGAAUUGACGGGG
rnacentral:rRNA from 1 species